UAGGGAAUCUUCCGCAAUGGACGAAAGUCUGACGGAGCAACGCCGCGUGAGCGAUGAAGGCCUUCGGGUCGUAAAGCUCUGUUGUUAGGGAAGAACAAGUAUCGGAGUAACUGCCGGUACCUUGACGGUACCUAACCAGAAAGCCACGGCUAACUACGUGCCAGCAGCCGCGGUAAUACGUAGGUGGCAAGCGUUGUCCGGAAUUAUUGGGCGUAAAGCGCGCGCAGGCGGUCCUUUAAGUCUGAUGUGAAAGCCCACGGCUCAACCGUGGAGGGUCAUUGGAAACUGGGGGACUUGAGUACAGAAGAGGAAAGUGGAAUUCCACGUGUAGCGGUGGAAUGCGUAGAGAUGUGGAGGAACACCAGUGGCGAAGGCGACUUUCUGGUCUGUAACUGACGCUGAGGCGCGAAAGCGCGGGGAGCAAACAGGAUUAGAUACCCUGGUAGUCCACGCCGUAAACGAUGAGUGCUAAGUGUUAGAGGGUUUCCGCCCUUUAGUGCUGCAGC
rnacentral:rRNA from 1 species